AGAGUUUGAUCAUGGCUCAGGAUGAACGCUAGCGGCAGGCCUAAUACAUGCAAGCCGAACGGCAAGUUGAGUAGCAAUACUUGACCUAGAGUGGCGUAAGGGUGCGUAACACGUAUGCAAUCUGCCCGCAACAGGAGGAUAGCUCCCCGAAAGGGGAAUUAAUACUCCAUGAGAUCACACGAGGGCAUCUGAGGGUGAUUAAACUACAAGGGGUUGCGGAUGAGCAUGCGGUUGAUUAGCUAGUUGGCGGGGUAACGGCCCACCAAGGCGAUGAUCAAUAGGGGAACUGAGAGGUUUAUCCCCCACACUGGCACUGAGAUACGGGCCAGACUCCUACGGGAGGCAGCAGUAGGGAAUAUUGGACAAUGGGCGAGAGCCUGAUCCAGCCAUGCCGCGUGCAGGAAGAAGGCCUUCUGGGUUGUAAACUGCUUUUGCCAGGGGAUAAAAAGUCCCUGCGGGGAAAAUUGGAGGUACCUGGUGAAUAAGCCACGGCUAACUACGUGCCAGCAGCCGCGGUAAUACGUAGGUGGCAAGCGUUGUCCGGAUUUAUUGGGUUUAAGGGUGCGUAGGCGGUUCUAUAAGUCAGUGGUGAAAUACGGCAGCUCAACUGUCGAGGUGCCAUUGAUACUGUAGAACUUGAGUACAGACGAGGUAGGCGGAAUUGACGGUAGCGGUGAAAUGCUUAGAUAUCGUCAAGAACACCGAUAGCGAAGGCAGCUUACUAGGCUGUAACUGACGCUGAGGCACGAAAGUGUGGGGAUCAAACAGGAUUAGAUACCCUAGUAGUCC
rnacentral:rRNA from 1 species